CACGUCUCCCACUUUCUCUCUCUAAGUUACUUCUACUUGAGGUGAAGAAUUAGGGUUCUAAGCUUAGUUUCUUGUCCUUCUUUGAUGCUAGUUGUAUUGGAGAGCUUUGGAGCUGUUGUAGAAGGGUGAAGAAGGUGUUUUGGGAAGUGUUUCGUAGCCCUAGCACAACAAGUAGUUGAGUAGAGGCUUGGUAAGCUGGUUGAAAGGGAGGAUUAGCAGCUAUAGCAGGGUAUUUUGCUGUACCCUAACUCAGCUGGAGCUGAGUUAAUGGUCUAAGAAGCAGAGUCGCAGCAAGGGGUGUGAACCCUGCGGCUAGGUUUUGGCGACUUUUGUAGCAGAGUUUGGAGGUGCUUCUUUGACCCUAAGCUAAGGGAAAGCUGGAUUGAAGUUUAGAGAAGUUUGGCUAUGUUCACAGCAGGUUUAUUAAUUAUUUUGAGCUGAAUUUGGGGACUCUUGUAAACUGCUUGGGGUGCUUCAACUUGGGUAGAAGUGGAGGUUUAGCCUUGAUCUAAACCUAGGGGACUUGGAGACUUCGAAUUUCCUGCAAUUGCGAGCUCGACGAGAACCGUCGAUUAGUAGUUUGAAAUGCCUACGACUCGUUCUAGGACUACCGGAGCGCCGAGGCAGCUGAUAUGGAGGAAGUAGAGACCUCCGCUACCUCCGGAUCCAGUAAGGUCCGUGAGUUGCAGGAUCAGCUUGCGGUGUUGACAGAGCUGGUGACACGACAGGCAGCGACGGCACAGCAACAGAUGGAUGCUGUGCGUCGACAAGAGGAAAGAAUGAAGCGAUUGGAGGAUUUACUACUCCAGCAGGUGACGGAUAGGGUGGUUCUAGAUUCUACACCACCAGUACCAGAGAGGGAUACGACUGCGAGAGCACAGUCGCCAGCGCCGGGUACCUCGCAGGCAACUCCGAGUGUUGAGCCCCUACAUGAGACAGUGGUGCCACCGCCACUGCAUGUGGUUGCUGCAGGGACAUGUUACCAGAAAUGGUGGGGGCCGAGGAGCGAGAGCAGAUGAUGGAACGAUUAAAUGAAUUCCGAAAGUGCAAUCCCCGCAUCUUCGAUGGUGAAAAGGCUGAUCAUUGGGUGGUCGAGAAAUGGUUGAUGCACAUGGAGAAGUUGUUUAAUUACACUUUUGUGGAGGAGCGAGGCCGUGUUUGGUUCGCGACACACCGUCUGGAUGGCGAGGCUUAUAGGUGGUGGAUUGACAUUCGAGAGAAUCCCCGUGUUGAUUUAUCUUCGAUCACUUGGAAGAGGUUUAAGGAGUUGCUUUUGACAACCUACUUUCCGCAGAGUUGUUUUUGUGCAUUAAUAAUACACGCUUCUAAAAUAUAAAAAUAACUUUCUUAUCCCUUCAAAAUUUAAA